UACGUAGGGUGCGAGCGUUGUCCGGAAUUAUUGGCGUAAAGAGCGCGCAGGCGGUCGAUCAAGUCGAGUGUGAAAGCCCCCGGCUCAACUGGGGAGGGUCAUUCGAUACUGAUCGACUCGAAGGCAGGGAGAGGGUAUGGAAUUCCCGGUGUAGUGGUGAAAUGCGUAGAUAUUGGGAAGAACACCGGUGGCGAAGGCGGCUCUCUGGACCGAGACUGACGCUGAGGCGGCGAAAGCG
rnacentral:rRNA from 1 species